rnacentral:rRNA from 1 species
UACGUAGGGACCAAGCGUUGUUCGGAUUUACUGGGCGUAAAGGGCGCGUAGGCGGCAAUUCAAGUCAUCUGUGAAAUCUCCGGGCUUAACUCGGAACGGUCAGAUGAUACUGCUUUGCUCGAGUGCGGAAGGGGCAAUCGGAAUUCUUGGUGUAGCGGUGAAAUGCGUAGAUAUCAAGAGGAACACCUGAGGUGAAGACGGGUUGCUGGGCCGACACUGACGCUGAAGCGCGAAAGCCAGGGGAGCAAACAGG